GACGAACGCUGGCGGCGUGCUUAACACAUGCAAGUCGAGCGGUAAGGCCCUUUCGGGGGUACACGAGCGGCGAACGGGUGAGUAACACGUGGGUGACCUGCCCUCAGCUCUGGGAUAAGCCUGGGAAACCGGGUCUAAUACUGGAUAUGACUCCAUGACGCAUGUUGUGGGGGUGGAAAGCCUUGUGCGGCUGAGGAUGGGCCCGCGGCCUAUCAGCUUGUUGGUGGGGUGAUGGCCUACCAAGGCGACGACGGGUAGCCGGCCUGAGAGGCGACCGGCCACACUGGGACUGAGACACGGCCCAGACUCCUACGGGAGGCAGCAGUGGGGGAAUC
rnacentral:rRNA from 1 species